CUUGUACACACCGCCCGUCACACCAUGGAAGUUGGUUGCACCAGAAGUAGGUAGCCUAACCGCAAGGAGGGCGCUUACCACGGCAGGGUUCGUGACUGGGGUG
rnacentral:rRNA from 1 species